rnacentral:rRNA from 1 species
GACGUAGGGCGCGAGCGUUGUCCGGAUUUAUUGGGCGUAAAGAGCUCGUAGGCGGCUUGUUGCGUCGGCUGUGAAAACCCAUGGCUCAACCGUGGGCUUGCAGCCGAUACGGGCAGGCUAGAGUUCGGUAGGGGAGACUGGAAUUCCUGGUGUAGCGGUGAAAUGCGUAGAUAUCAGGAGGAACACCGGUGGCGAAGGCGGGUCUCUGGGCCGAUACUGACGCUGAGGAGCGAAAGCGUGGGGAGCGAACAGG